GGGUUCUCAAGUGAUGCACCCUGGAAUCAGGCUCCCUCUUCUCUGGUUCCAGGUGCAUCACCCAAAAAACCA
rfam:Myotis brandtii contig175604, whole genome shotgun sequence.